rnacentral:tRNA from 1 species
UCGCCGAAAUAGCUUAGUUGGGAGAAUGUUAGACCGAAGAUCUAAAGGUCUCUUGUUUGAUCCCGGGUUUGGGAA